GACGAACGCUGGCGGCGUGCUUAACACAUGCAAGUCGAGCGGAGCGGCGAACGGGUGAGUAACGCGUGAGUAACUGCCCCCCUCUCUGGGAUAACAGUUGGAAACUGCUGCUAAUACCGGAUAGUGGGGGAUGACUCGCGUCCUAUCAGCUUGUUGGUUGGGUAGUGGCCUACCAAAGCGACGACGGGUAGCCGGCCUGAGAUGGCGACCGGCCAAAUUGGGCUGGGAUACGGCCCAAACUCCUACGGGAGACAGCAGUGGGGAAUAUUGCACAAUGGUGGAAACCCGGAUGCAGCAACGCGCGUGCGGGAUGACGGACUUCGGGUUGUAAACAGCUUUCGGCCAUGACGCGGUAGUGGCAGAAGAAGCACCGGCUAACUACGUGCCAGCAGCCGCGGUAAUUC
rnacentral:rRNA from 1 species